GCAUUGAUGGUUCAGUGGUAGAAUUCUGAUCUUCCAUGUGGUGAAACCUAGGUUCAAUUACUGGCCAAUGCA
rnacentral:tRNA from 1 species